rnacentral:rRNA from 1 species
UGGGGAAUAUUGGACAAUGGGCGAAAGCCUGAUCCAGCCAUGCCGCGUGUGUGAAGAAGGUCUUCGGAUUGUAAAGCACUUUAAGUUGGGAGGAAGGGUUGUAGAUUAAUACUCUGCAAUUUUGACGUUACCGACAGAAUAAGCACCGGCUAACUCUGUGCCAGCAGCCGCGGUAAUACAGAGGGUGCAAGCGUUAAUCGGAAUUACUGGGCGUAAAGCGCGCGUAGGUGGUUAGUUAAGUUGGAUGUGAAAUCCCCAGGCUCAACCUGGGAACUGCAUUCAAAACUGACUGACUAGAGUAUGGUAGAGGGUGGUGGAAUUUCCUGUGUAGCGGUGAAAUGCGUAGAUAUAGGAAGGAACACCAGUGGCGAAGGCGACCACCUGGACUGAUACUGACACUGAGGUGCGAAAGCGUGGGGAGCAAACAGGAUUAGAUACCCACGUAGUCCCUGAGCGGGCUGGCAAGGCGCAU